rnacentral:rRNA from 1 species
CGUGUAGGCGGUUUUAUAAGUCUGAUGUGAAAGCCCUGGGCUCAACCCGGGAAGUGCAUUGGAUACUGUAAGACUUGAAUACGGGAGAGGGUAGUGGAAUUCCUAGUGUAGGAGUGAAAUCCGUAGAUAUUAGGAGGAACACCAGUGGCGAAGGCGGCUACCUGGACCGAUAUUGACGCUGAGACGCGAAAGCGUGGGUAGCAAACA